UGACUAACAGACCAUCAGAGCGGCAGGAAAUUGGAGAAUCGCUACGACAGUCACCCAGCCUGGCUGGCAGCAUUGAAAGAACAAACAAGUACAUCUUCCAUAAAGACCCUGCCCUGAGCUCACCAUUCCUCUUUCUGAGAGAGCUGAGGUGGUUCUUCCGUCAGGGGAGCAACCAUUGUUCCAGGCUUAAAGCAAGUCAGAGAGAGACGCACACGUGUAGGAUUCUAGGACCUUGACCCUCCACCGCAAACAGAGGCACUCACCUCUGCAUUCUGGGAAAUGGCAGCCUGUGUGUCAGCCAGAUAAACACGUGACUGUGAAUUGCUCUGAGGCCGGAGAACUGCUGACCUCUGUAGGUAAAUGAUCCUCAAGCCAACACCUCCACUCCAGACCUCCCGAGCUUCAGACAUAUGCAACCUUCUGUGUUUUGGGCAGCUCCACCUGGAAUGUCUAAGAGGCACCUCAAGCUCCAAGUAGAUAUCCUGUAAGUUUUGGAGUCCCUCAC